rnacentral:rRNA from 1 species
UACAGAGGUCCCAAGCGUUGUUCGGAUUCAUUGGGCGUAAAGGGUGCGUAGGCGGCGCGGUAAGUCGGGUGUGAAAUCUCGGAGCUUAACUCCGAAACUGCAUUCGAUACUGCCGUGCUUGAGGACUGGAGAGGAGACUGGAAUUUACGGUGUAGCGGUGAAAUGCGUAGAUAUCGAGAGGAACACCGGUGGCGAAGGCGGCCAACUGGACGAAUACUGACGCUGAGACACGAAAGCGUGGGGAGCAAACGGG